AACGCACAUUGCGCCCCUAGGUAUUCCUUGGGGCACGCCUGUUCGAGCGCCGUUAUCACACCUAAGGCUCCGCCUUGCGUUGGCGCCGUCCGUCCGAGGACGCGCCGAAACCCAUCGAGCGCCCCCUCGAUCUCCGGCAGCGUAGCGAAAACAUCGCUGUCGGUUCUCGAGGCGGGUCGCCCGUGAGAACACGAGUUUGGCCUCGAAUCAGGCGGGGAUACCCGCUGAACUUAA
rnacentral:misc_RNA from 1 species